GGCCAUAGCUCGAUGGUAGAGCAUCUGCUUUGCAUGCAGAAGGUCCCAGGUUCAAUACCCAGCAUCUCCA